GAGGACUGUGAAAGGACAGGAUGUAGCUACUAGUGUCUCCCUAUUUCAAUGGCGGAUCUGCCAGGAUUGGCCACCGGAGGAUUUAGGUUUGAUAUGGCUUACAAGAUUAAGUUUCUAGUUGUUGUGCCCAGUGAUUGAGUUACCAUUGUUUCUGACCCAAGUUUGUGUGGUGUUGUCCUUCACGCAACUGCAACUGCAACUGCUUGACUGGGUUUCAGAGAGAAAAAAUAAGGUGGCAAAGCGUGGGUUUGCCUGAUGUGCACCACAGAAGGCCAUUGGAGUUUUGAAGUAUGGCAGUGGCCUGGUAGCUAUCCUCCAGUGGGAACUUACCGAGCUGGGUAGAGAGAUUUUGGAGCUCUGAGUCAGAGACUCUCCAGGAGAUAAGAACAGCCUGCCAGUGCAUGGUCCACCAGCCGGCUGGGGCAGAGAGUAGCUGGGUUUAGCUCCGGAACCUGGUGCCACUUUUUAAAUAUUUCCCGCAGCAUUAUCUCCAGGGAGGAGACUCCUGAUCUUUCAGAGACUGGAUCAGAAUGCUAACCUCAACUUAUCUCAGAUUGUUUUUUGAAGGACUUGAGGGAAAGGAGGAUGACUCAGCAUAGAAAGGAGCUUGCCACUAAACCUGACAACUUGAUUUUGACCCCUCAAACCCACAUGACAGAAGGAGAGACUCAAUUCCCUCAUGGUGCUCUCCAAUCUCCACUUACACACAGUGACAUAUGUGCACAUUGCCUGCACUCAGAAGAAAUCCUGUCUCCAUCUUGUCCUUCAGUGAACACAGCUGAGAUGAGUGUAGGAAGCUGUGUUUUCCCUGGGCGCAUCAUGAUGUGUAAAGCAAGGGGCACACAUUAUUCUCCUCCAGCAAGGUAUCUUCCUGAGGUAUGGAGAAGCCUAUUGUAUCCCAUGUCUACUGGAAUAAACCCUGAAAUAGGC